CAGUAGCCGCGGUAAUACGGAGGGUGCAAGCGUUAAUCGGAAUUACUGGGCGUAAAGCGUGCGUAGGCGGUUCGUUAAGUCCGCUGUGAAAGCCCCGGGCUCAACCUGGGAAUGGCAAUGGAUACUGGCGAGCUAGAGUGUGUCAGAGGAUGGUGGAAUUCCCGGUGUAGCGGUGAAAUGCGUAGAGAUCGGGAGGAACAUCAGUGGCGAAGGCGGCCAUCUGGGACAACACUGACGCUGAGGCACGAAAGCGUGGGGAGCAAACAGGAUUAGAUACCCCCGUAGUCCCUGUCUCUUAUAA
rnacentral:rRNA from 1 species